GUUGCCCCUCCCCCUCCUCCAAGUGCCGUUUCGGUUUAACCUAGUGUGUGACUGAGUCUGUGAGGGAACGAGUGAGUGUGUGAGGUAUUGAGGUGAGGCGGAGGCAGGAAAAGGGGCUCCCUCAGGAGCGAGGGACAAAGAGGGUGUGAGGCACCUAAGCCGCGGAACCCGAGCAACAGGAAGCCACCCGGAGCCGGGCUACCGGGCGGGAGAAGGCCCGCGUAGUCCUCCCUGGGCUUCAGACCUGAAGUCGGCCCUACAGCCCCCGGCCGUCGGCUUCCUACUUCCUCGACCUCCCGGGCCCCCGGGACUGAGGAUUGGCUCUGCGUGGGGAAGACGGCAAACGGACUUGAGCGGCUGCCGGUGGUCUCGCAACUCCACUGCUGAGGAACUCUCAUUUCUUCCCUGGCUCCUUCACCCUCAUGUAGGAGGGUGCCGAGGAGUCGGGAGGGAGGAGGAGCCUGCGCCACGGUCCCUUCCCUCCCAACCCCCUUCGACGAGCGCUUUGGUAGGCGUGGGGUUGGGGUUGGGGUUGGGGGGAGGGUGGGGGUUACUUUUUGGAGUGCUGGGGAACUUUUUCCCCCUUUUGAGGCCAGGGGAAAGGGGAUGCCCAAUCCAGAGAGACAUGGGGGCAAGAAGGACGGGAGUGGAGGCGCUUCUGGAACUUUGCAGCCGUCAUCGGGAGGUGGCAGCUCCAACAGCAGAGAGCGUCACCGCUUGGUGUCGAAGCACAAGCGGCACAAGUCCAAGCACUCCAAAGACAUGGGGUUGGUGACCCCCGAAGCAGCACCUUUGGGUACAAUGAUCAAACCUUUGGUGGAGUAUGAUGACAUCAGCUCUGAUUCCGAUACCUUCUCUGACGACAUAGUCUUCAAACCAGACAGGAGGGAGAAUGAUGAACGUCGUGGAACUGAUCGAAGUGACCGCUUGCACAAACAUCGUCACCACCAGCACCGACGUUCCCGGGAUUUAAUAAAAAGUAAACAGACAGAAAAAGAAAAAAACCAGGAAGUUUCCAGCAAGUCGGGAUCGAUGAAGGACCGGAUAUCAGGAAGUUCAAAGCGUUCAAAUGAGGAAAAUGAUGACUAUGGGAAGGCACAGAUUUCCAAAAGCAGCAGCAACAAGGAAUUCAGGUCAUCCAAACUUCACAAGGAGAAGGCCCGGAAGGAACGUGAGUUGAAGUCUGGGCACAAAGACCGGAGUAAAAGUCAUCGGAAAAGGGAAACACCCAAAAGUUAUAAAACAGUGGACAGCCCCAAACGGAGGUCCAGGAGUCCCCACAGGAAAUGGUCUGACAGCCCCAAGCAAGAUGAUAGCCCCUCAGGAGCUUCUUACGGCCAAGAUUAUGACCUGAGUCCCCCAAGAUCUCACACCUCCAGCAAUUAUGACUCGUACAAGAAGAGUCCUGGAAGUACCUCAAGAAGGCAGUCUAUUAGCCCACCUUACAAGGAGCCUUCGGCCUACCAGUCCAGCACCCGGUCACCCAGUCCCUACAGCAGACGGCAGAGGUCUGUGAGUCCCUAUAGCCGGAGACGGUCGUCCAGUUAUGAAAGGAGUGGCUCUUACAGUGGGAGGUCACCCAGUCCCUACGGUCGAAGGAGGUCCAGCAGCCCUUUCACCAGCAAACGUUCUCUGAGUCGGAGUCCACUCCCCAGAUGGAGCCUGCAACCUUGGUGCAUGAGACAACACUCUAACCAGCUGAGCUGCCUGGCCAGGGCUCAAAAGAAAUCCUUGAAGUCUAGAAGUAGAAGUCCCGCAUAUUCAAGACACUCAUCUUCUCAUAGUAAAAAGAAGAGAUCCGGGUCACGUAGUCGACAUUCCAGUAUCUCACCUGUCAGGCUUCCAUUGAACUCCAGCUUGGGAGCUGAACUCAGUAGGAAGAAGAAGGAAAGAGCAGCAGCUGCUGCUGCAGCAAAAAUGGAUGGAAAGGAAUCCAAGGGUUCACCUAUUAUUUUGUCUAGAAAAGAGAACAGUUCAGUAGAGGCUAAGGAUAUGGGUUUGGAGUCUAAAAAGUUACCCAGAGGUUUAAAAUUGGAAAAAUCUGCCCCAGAUACUGAACUAGUGAAUGUAACACAUCUAAAUGCAGAGGCCAAAAAUUCUUUAGAUACAGGGAAAGUAAAGGUGGAUGAGAACUCUGAGAAGCAUCCUGUUCUUAAAGAUUUGAAAGUGGAGGGAACAAAAGACUCUAAACCAAUGGUGUUGAAGGAGGAGAUUGUUACUCCAAAAGAGACAGAGACAUCAGAAAAGGAGAGCCUUCCACCUCUCCCCACAGUUUCUUCUCCACCUCCUUUACCAACUACUACCCCUCCACCUCAGACACCCCCAUUGCCACCUUUACCUCCACUACCAGCUGUUCCACAGCAACCACCUCUCCCUCCUCCCCAACCAGCAUUUAGUCAGGUUCCUGUUACUAGCACUUCAGCUUUGCCCCCUUCUACUCACCCAAGGACGUCUACUCUGUCCUCUCAGGCAAAUUCUCAGCCCCCUGUACAGGUUUCUUUGAAGACUCAAUUAUCUGUAACAGCUGCUAUUCCACACCUAAAAACAUCAACGUUGCCUCCUCUGCCCCUCCCACCCUUGUUACUUGGAGAAGAUGACAUGGAUAGUCCAAAAGAAACUCUGCCUUCAAAACCAGUAAAGAAGGAGAAGGAACAAAGGCCACGUCACUUACUCACGGACCUCCCUCUCCCUCCAGAGCUUCCUGGUGGGGAUCCAUCUCCUCCAGACUCUCCAGAACCAAAGGCAGUCACACCACCUCAACAACCAUAUAAAAAAAGACCAAAAAUUUGUUGUCCUCGUUACGGAGAAAGAAGACAAACAGAAAGUGAUUGGGGAAAACGCUGUGUGGACAAAUUUGACAUUAUUGGGAUUAUUGGAGAGGGAACCUAUGGCCAAGUAUAUAAAGCCAAGGACAAAGACACAGGAGAGCUAGUGGCCCUGAAGAAGGUGAGACUAGACAAUGAGAAAGAAGGUUUCCCAAUCACAGCCAUUCGUGAAAUCAAAAUUCUUCGUCAGCUAAUCCACCGAAGUGUUGUUAACAUGAAGGAAAUUGUCACAGAUAAACAAGAUGCACUGGAUUUCAAGAAGGACAAAGGUGCCUUUUACCUUGUAUUUGAGUAUAUGGACCAUGACUUAAUGGGACUGCUAGAAUCUGGUUUGGUGCACUUUUCUGAGGAUCAUAUCAAGUCAUUCAUGAAACAGCUAAUGGAAGGAUUGGAUUACUGUCACAAAAAGAAUUUCUUGCAUCGGGAUAUUAAGUGUUCUAACAUUUUGCUGAACAACAGUGGGCAGAUCAAAUUAGCAGAUUUUGGACUUGCUCGGCUCUAUAACUCUGAAGAAAGUCGCCCUUAUACAAACAAAGUCAUUACUCUGUGGUACCGACCUCCAGAACUUCUGCUGGGAGAGGAGCGUUAUACACCAGCCAUAGAUGUUUGGAGCUGUGGAUGCAUCCUUGGGGAACUGUUUACAAAGAAACCUAUAUUUCAAGCCAAUCUGGAACUGGCUCAGCUGGAACUGAUCAGUCGACUCUGUGGUAGCCCUUGUCCAGCUGUGUGGCCUGAUGUUAUCAAGCUGCCCUACUUCAAUACCAUGAAACCGAAGAAGCAAUAUAGAAGGCGUUUACGAGAAGAAUUCUCUUUCAUUCCUUCAGCAGCACUGGAUUUACUGGACCACAUGCUGACACUAGAUCCUAGCAAACGUUGCACAGCUGAACAAACCCUGCAGAGUGACUUCCUUAAAGAUGUUGACCUCAGCAAAAUGGAUCCUCCAGACCUCCCCCACUGGCAGGAUUGCCAUGAAUUAUGGAGUAAGAAACGGCGACGGCAGCGUCAAAGUGGUGUUGUGGUAGAAGAGCCACCUCCGUCCAAAACCUCUCGAAAAGAAACUACCUCAGGAACAAGUGCUGAGCCUGUGAAGAACAGCAGCCCAGCACCACCUCCGCCUGCUCCUGGCAAGGUGGAGCCUGGGGCUGGGGAUGCAAUAGGCCUCGGUGACAUCACACAACAAUUGAAUCAAAGUGAAUUGGCAGUGUUAUUGAACCUGCUGCAGAGCCAAACUGACCUAAGCAUCCCUCAAAUGGCACAGCUGCUUAAUAUCCACUCCAACCCCGAGAUACAGCAGCAGCUGGAGGCCCUGAACCAAUCUCUCAAUGCCCUAACGGAAGCCACUUCCCAGCAGCAGGACUCAGAGCCCCUGGCCCCAGAAGAAUCUUUGAAGGAGGCACCCCCUGCUCCAGUGGUCCAGCCGUCAGCAGAACAGAAGACCCCUGAAGCUUCAAGCACACCAGCUGACAUGCAGAAUAUGUUGGCAGUUCUCUUGAGUCAACUGAUGAAAACCCAGGAGCCAGCAGGCAACCUGGAGGAAAACAACAGUGACAAGAACAGUGGGCCACAGGGGCCCCGAAGAACUCCCACAAUGCCACAGGAGGAGGCAGCAGGUGGCAGUAGCAGCAGGAGGGAUGGCCCCUGAGGAAUUUGGUGAUGCCUAUCAGUUACCUGAUAUCCGGAGCCCUGGCAAAUUCAGUCUUUCACAGACUCAAGCCAGGUUAGAUGGGAGAUCCACCCAUCCAAACACUGUGCUAUACACCAGAAGUAGAGGCCUACAGGCUGCUUCUCUGUCCUCAAUGCCCAGAACCAGGCAGGUCACCAGCCUCUAGUACUCAGCCCCACCCUUCUUGCUGCCAGACGUGGAAAAGGAGGCCCAGAAGUGAGAAAUCAGUUGAAUUCUGCCCUGGUGUUGCUUUGUGUUCGCGGAUUUGAAGGAUUCCCGGGAGCACAGGGAAAGGGAGGAAGUAAGAGAAACAUUGAUCCACCGCUCUGCCUAUCCAUUGGCUGACUCUUGCAUGUGCCUGGACCAGGGAUUGAAUCCACCACCUUGACAAAUUUGGACAAGGCUCCAACCGAGUUACCUAGCCAGGGUACAUGCGCUAUUAUUAUUUCCAUUUCAUAGAUGAGGAAAAUUGAGGUUCACAGUAAGUGAUUUCCCUACUAUCACAUUCUAUUAAAUGGCAAAAGAGAGCCUGGAACUUCAGACAAUAGGGCUCUUUCACUACACCAGGCUUUCUGAGAGCUUGACUAAGGCUGCUGGGAAAAGGGUGUGUUUGAAGAGAGAUGUUAGAAGCAGGAAGAGUAUUGGAGCAGCCUCAGUCAAUUCAGGUACUCCCCGAUAACUUUGGUUCCUAGAUUAGAAGAAUGGCAGUGUCAUAGAGCAGGGACUCUGACAUUGUCUCCCCUUCUCCAGAAAAGAGCAAGACUGAAGUGGGUGGAGCCCAUAAGAAAUCUUUCCACAGACGGGAGAACUGGAAUGGGAAAAGGAGGAUCCAGUCUCUGGGUGUCUAUCAGACAAUGAGUGGGGCAAGAUACUCCUUGAAAAUGUGAAGGUUAAGUAACGUAUCUUUGACGGGUCUAAGGAAAUCGAUGCCUAUGCCUAAGAGUGAGCUCUCUAUUCCAAAGGGGUAAGGGAGGUGCAGCACCUUUUUGAGGUUUUGGUUACGGUGAGGGUAACUACAGUUCAUUUGCACACGUACUUACUACACCUUGGGCAGGCUCAGUGUCUGGAAUGUGGUUCAGGGGGCAAACAGAGUGAAAGCAAAAAUGCCAGGCCAGUGUUUAGUCCCGACUUCACCGUCGCUCUUUCCCUCCAACUAAGUCAGAAGGAGUGGUAGAAAUCAUUUGGUCUGUCCCUCAGCCUCUGGGCACUGGUUGGAGCUGACAGGUGGAAACCUAGAGUUGGCCCAGACGUGAUGGAUGGUAGAGAUGCCAAUUUGCAGGAGAGAAGGUUUGGCUCCUCUCCUGGGAGCUGUGUCUGGCCAAAGGCUGCCCCCUCCCACCUCUUGCUGGAACCCGCUCUUUUAUAGUCAAUGUCACCAUUGCUCCCUUGGCCUAUCACAGUGACUGUGGACUCAUAACAAUUUUCCCCAUCUACUUAAGGCUCCAGAACCAGGCUGACUGCACAAGUCCCUUUUCUCCCUCUCCCUUGGCCCAUCAAAAAAUGGUACAUGUUCUCCCAGUGGCAGCCACCAUCCUUACCCAGUAAUUUCAGCCAUGCAGAUAAAUGCUGAGGCCGUCGGCAUUUACAGGGACAACACUACGUUGCUGAAACGACCAGAGAUACCUAUUCUGCAUGCCUGUCUUUUGGUUGGAAGUUCUUAGACCCAAAGGAGACUGUUCUUUACCAGCUCUUAUCCCCACUGAGACUUCCUGACGGUCAGAGGUCCUAAAUGUGGCCAGGAGACAGCUCUCUUCCCUCGGAGCCAAAAUUGCUCCUAACCAGGAAACAUCAGGGCCCCUACCUACUCCCUUUUUUUGGCUGCCUCUCUACUCCAGGCCCCGUUCUCUCCUGCCACCACUCCCUUCCCAUUCCUCCUUUCUCCUCUCUCUCUCUCAGCAAGUUUUUUAUGUGAUUACAGGCGCUGCAUGGUAAUUAGUGCUAAACUCAUUUGCACAACUACAGUUAAUUGGCUACAACAAUUAAUUAAUGUGUUGGAAAUUUGGCACUGGAAAAAAAAAGUUUGUCAUCAAAAAAAGGGCAAAAAAUUGUAGAGUAAGGUACCCAUAAAAAUUGAGGGCAGGCUUCAAAAGCCCAGCUGGGCCUCAAACUUCAGGCUGGCCUCGGAUGCCUUCCCACCCUCAACUUCAGCACAUUUUCUUCCUUCCUCUUUUAUUUUUUCCUCUUCCUUUUUCCCUCUCACCCUUCCUCUCUCUUCCUCUCUCUUCCUCCCUCUCUUUCUCUUUUACAACUUAAGCAAACUCAUUUCCCUGAUAAAAUAUAGCAUGACUAAUGGCUAGAGCAUGUAAAAAUCAUUGGGAAAAUGUCCUUGGAAGACGAAUGCAUUUUCAGCAGAAUAAUUAACUUAAUUAACAAAUUCACAUGCAUAUUCAUCAGGCUAUUAAUGUCUUCUCGGCUCAGCUUGAUGAACAUUGCGGUAAUAACCAUCUCAUUUACAUAGUGCAUUCUACUGCGAUCCAAAACAGAGACAACAUACAGGCGUAUACACACACACAUACACUUGCACAAAUAUACACAACAUGCCUGGGCCGCUUUGAUUUCCAGGUUGGUUGUGUGUGUGUGUGUGUGUGUGUGUGUGUGUGAGAGAGAGAGAGAGAGAGAUGGAGUGUGUGUGUGUGUGUGUGUGUGUGUGUGUGUGUGUAUAGGAACCCCGACUGGAUGAUGCGAUCUUCAGAGGGUCAUGAGCGAGGUGGGGUAGGGGUGUCCACAUGUGGAUGUCUGAGCGAACUUUAAUUCAUUCUCUCUCUCUGCCUCUUUUUCCUUGUUUCCUUUCCUCUGUGUCAUUUUCUUCUCUCGUGCCGCCCGCCCCCCAGUCUCUCUAGGGAAAAACUUGGUAUCUGUGCCAACUUUUUCCCUCCUCCCCUCCUCCCUCUCUCUCCUCCUUCCCCACUUCCAACUGCUGCCAGCCGGCAUCAGCACCGAAUUGCCAUCUCCUUGAGCUCUCUGUGGAGCAAUCUCAGAGAGCAGUAAGGUGUGACGCGGGGCUCUGCCGGCUUCGCAGCACCGCCUGCGGAAAGAGCGCAGGAUGGCGGAGGAAGAUUAAGAGAAAUCGCGAGCAGGGCUGGGCUGCCAUUGGUGUGUGCAAACGCCGAGGAGGAAGGGAGAGGGAGAGCAAGGAGGUGGGGGUAGAAUGGGCGGGGGGACCAGCAGCUGUCGGCCUAAUUCUUCUAACACUCUGCUUGUGGUCAUAUUAGAAAAACAGAUUAUGCCCCUUGGUGCCACUCACUUAUACUUGACAAUAGUUAAUGUUCUCUAUCUCCAUUCGCGGAUCUUGACAACAGUGGACUUAAGUUCAAGGAGGAUGGGGGUGUGGGUGGCCAAGGGGCACCAAAGACCUACCCUUCCUGCUCUCCUGACCUCCAACCCCAGUCUAUACUAGCCCUCUAGGAAGCAAGCCUGGGUCAUAAUUUUGCAUCUGAUGCUACCCUUUGGCUCUGCUUUUUGCAGCCCCCUCUAACAGAGGUCAGAGGACACCUGGAAGCCCUUUCCCCUGAAAAGUCACUGCCCCUUUAGUCUUAAUAGGUCACAUUAGGCCGAAGUAAGACCAGCUUUGUGGCGCCCCUUCCUCUAACCUUUCUGUGGGCCAUACCCCUUAAUCCAGAAGUUGAGGGGUAGAGAAAGUGGUCCAUGGUAGUACUCCAUGUGAGGGCUACAGAAAAGCCAGAAACAAAACCCGGCCAGGAUUGUUUCUAGGUUGCUAUGGAAACCAGGUUCCCUCCUCCUGGCAGAAAGGGAGGACUGCCUGAGGCUUGCCUCCUUCCACCAAUCCAGAAGGCUGUAAAGGUGGAGUUUGCUAAGGCCCUGAGAAUAGGCCUGGUCUUGGAGGAGAAACCAACCAUUCCCAGUAGCACUGUCUGCCAGACCACAGCCCUUUGACCUCCACCUUCCUUACCCUCUCACCCCAAAAUUCAAUCAAAGGAGGCUUUUCCUCUCAGUGCCUUGUCCUCUAUGGAGACCUGUUGCUUAGCAACCACUAGUGCCUUCUUCCUAAUAACUUGCAGGGACUGAGAGAUAUAAUAUCUGUCUCUAUAUUCAAUCCCCCUCCCCUGUCUAUUUAUAUUUAAUAACUGAAGCCCUGUCUUGGGUUCUCUUGGCACUUGUUUUAGAGUACUUUUAGAUGGAGUACGCUACAGCCUGAAGAAAUAAAGUUAUACUUAAUGAAGAACUUCCAAAUGGGGAAGAGUGGGAGAAAAGACUGGAGUAGAUCGAGAAGCUGUGGGGUGAUAUUUUUUUAAGUGUAUGUAGGUGGGGGGAGUAUUUAGAACUUGGAAUGUGUGGAGAGGAUGUCUACAGGGAUUCCCAAGGGUCUGUUCAGGAACCUGGGGUGGACCCUAAAAACUGUUUUCUGGCCUGGCACUUUCCACCCCCCACCCCCUGUCCUGCCCUCCUUCCUAGCAACUUUCAGUCUAGAGCCCUCUCAUAUUUCUGUACGUGGGAGGUCCAUCUCUCCGGGGACGUCCAGUUUCCUAGCAUCUGUGUGUUGGUAUCCAGGAGGGGGCUGUGUAGAUGUGUGUCCAGCAAGGCCUGGGCGUUCUCCCAAAGUUUUUCAGUCACAGGGAAGGAAUUCUGAGCUCUCUCCUAGAAAGCUCCAGAGCUGACCUAGCAGUGGGGGCUACACAAUAUCACUGAAAAUGAGGAGCACAGAAGGCCCACGUGUCUCCUAUGGGCUGUGUGUGGAGUCAGAAGGCCUGGGUCUGAGCCCCCUCUUCCUGUUCUCCUCUGAUCCUAGUUAUUCAAUUAACCUUUCCCUUGUGCUUCAUCUGCAGAUCAAAAAUAAUGUUUACUUCCUUGGACUUCUGGGGGAUCAAUUUUAAGUAAUAUAUGAAAGGAAACACUCUGAAAACUGACAACUUUAACUAAAAUAUUAGUUUAAGGUCUAGAAAAGGCCUGAUUGCUGGGAAGAGGGAGGCAUCAUGAAUGCAGUCUCGCCCUGGGCUUGGAACACCAUUAGCUUUUUAGCCAGAGAGGUAUGAUUCUUUUCCCUGUAGUUGGUGGGGUAGGGAGCUAUAAAUCAAAAUCAAACACAAGUCUGUGUAGGGAAAGUAGCAUGCAGUGUCCCCAUCACCUUCCCCACCACCAGUCCCCAACUCUGACCUUUAUCCUGAGUGGCCAAGACACAAGUCCUGCUGACACCCCCCCGAACCUUCCAUCCUUCUGGGUCAGCACCUUCACUGCAUUUGUGCUAGCUCACAGACUGUGCAGUUUCACCCUUCAUACCCCCCUUCUCAGCACCUCCGCCAACCCGAGCCUUCUGUGGGAGACAGAUGGGGUGUCUGCAAUGGAAAAAGCUCUGGGCUCUAUGCCGCCUUGGGUGGGCAGCCCCCCCUUCCCAUCCCCCACUGCUCCCCCUCUCCCUACCUAAGAUACUCAGAUUCACCCUGGGCAGCUUUGGGAGCUACUGAGAAUUCUAGCUCUCUUCCUUCUCAGACUCAGCUCAAGAAGCAGAGCCAGAAUGGCAUCUUUCUCCAAGACCUAAACCCCAUCCCCUCUUCGUAGAAGACCAGUGCAAGGAAGAAACAGACUAGGGAAUGGUAGGGCUCCAUGUGAAGGAACUAAUGUGGAGAGGCUCAGAAUCCCUCACCAAGGACUGGAUGCUGGGCUUGGGGCCUGAGUUGACAGAGGAGGUUGAGCCUAGGCAGCUUCUUUGUUCCAGAAAUCUGGGGUCCCUGAAGGAAGGCUUAGCUUGGGGAGGGGGAGAAAGGGAGCUAACGCUACAGAGCACCAACUGUGAGCUAGGCAUGAUGCCAGAGCCUUUCCAUACUUGUAGUCACAACUAGCAGGUGAGGAGUCAGGACGAAUAGGUGUCUCAGGAGCUCUCAGCACCUUGGUGCACUUGACCUCCUCCUCUUCUGAUUCUGUGAUGUCACUGCCAGUUCUCCCCCUACGCUGGCCUCUCUUUCUCUGUCUCCUUUGCAAGCUCGUCCUCGGGCUCAGCUGAGGCCUUCAAUUAUAUACUUUCAUGGUACUAUAUAUCCUUUCAUCACACUUAGAACAGUUAUCCCACACUUAUUUGUGCAGCCAUUUGAAUAAUGAUCCUACUUCCCCCACCAGAUGGAAAGUUCCACGAGGACAACGACCGUGUGUUCACAGGUGUGCUCCCAGUGCUCAGCAUAGCGCCUAGCAUAAAGCAGCUAUUUGGUAAACAUUUGUUGAAUGAAUGAAUAAAUGACAAAAUGAUA